CCUGUACUGGUGUCCAACUCCUUUUCCAUUUUUUUUACUCCGGGUCCAAAUGUGUGUUCAUUGACGUCGGGCUUAAUUUGGAGUGGUGAGAGCUGCCUGCCCGCCCCAUGUGCAUAUGUAUGUAUUUUCGCUUCUUGAAUAAUUAGUAACAGAUUGACUUAAGUUUUGUCUAUGAGGAAGUAUUAAAAUCAACUGGCUGAUUUCUCUCCAUCGUAAACCGUGUCCUCCGCGCGACAGGCACCGCUGUGCGCCGCCCACUGCUUCCCCCUCCACGCACCCAACCUUAUCUCUUCCGCGGCAGAUGUGCUCCUCCACUCGUUCUCCUUACUCUCUUUUCCCCUUCCGAAUCUCUUUCUUCGUCGCUCUGGGAGAGGGAGAACUCCGACAACCGUGCACCGCUGCUGCGAUCCAAGAGGAACGAUGACGGCCACCGCAUGUGUCGGUGCUGCAACUCAGAAGGAAGAGGGAGGCCGGAGUUGGUGCCUCGCUCUGUGUCCUGCCAUGCCCGUGCCGGCUCCACUCUUCCUGCCCUCUCUCACCCCAUAUCCGACGUGGAGUGUUGCUGCUGCAAAGAGGCACCACUGUGCUACGGGGGACGAAGGCGGUGACGACAAGAUUUUUGCUGAGAAGGGGGCACCAUCAGGGUUGCAACAGCUCUGGUGCUCCAACCCACCUCGCCGCAGCGGUCGCCGUUUGUUGCACCGGCGGUGUUGCGAUGCAGCUGCGAUGAAGCAUCGUCGGAGCUGCGUUCGAGCAAUGCCGUGCAGGUGUUUAUGCUGCAUUGAAGCAUCGCCGGAGCAACGAUGGUCACCAGCACAGCGGUGCGCUGUGCCAGUGUGGCGUUGCAAUGGAGCAUCGCUGGAUCUACGAUAGGCCGCCGGUGUUGUGUUGGAACACCGCCGCGCCAGUGUUGGCGCUGCAAUUGAGCAUCGCCGGUGCUGCGUUGGAGCACCAUUGCGCCUGUUUUGGCACUACAAUGACACAUCGCCGCACUGCCAUUGUUGUCGAACGCCCAGCUCUGCCAGCGAUGGAAUGCGGCUGAUGCUUGCAAGUCGGUGGUGUUGCUUCCAUGGCGCGUCACAUGGUUGCUUUCAUUGUGGCACGACAUGUGUUUGAUCGAUCCAACGGUUGCGAGAGGAAGGAUCUGACGGCCCGCCACCCAACUGAUUUC
rnacentral:lncRNA from 1 species